CCAGACUCCUACGGGAGGCAGCAGUGGGGGAUAUUGCACAAUGGGGGGAACCCUGAUGCAGCGACGCCGCGUGGGUGAAGAAGCGCCUCGGCGCGUAAAGCCCUGUCAGCAGGGAAGAAAAUGACGGUACCUGAAGAAGAAGCCCCGGCUAACUACGUGCCAGCAGCCGCGGUAAUACGUAGGGGGCAAGCGUUAUCCGGAUUUACUGGGUGUAAAGGGAGCGUAGACGGCGAUGCAAGCCAGAUGUGAAAGCCCGGGGCUCAACCCCGGGACUGCAUUUGGAGCUGUAUAGCUAGAGUGUCGGAGAGGCAGGCGGAAUUCCUAGUGUAGCGGUGAAAUGCGUAGAUAUCAGGAGGAACACCGGCGGCGAAGGCGGCCUGCUGGACCGCGACUGACGUUGAGGCUCGAAAGCGUGGGGAGCGAACAGGAUUAGAUACCCUUGUA
rnacentral:rRNA from 1 species